rnacentral:rRNA from 1 species
UACGGAGGGGGCUAGCGUUGUUCGGAAUUACUGGGCGUAAAGCGCACGUAGGCGGCUUUGUAAGUUAGAGGUGAAAGCCUGGAGCUCAACUCCAGAAUUGCCUUUGAUACUGCAUCGCUUGAAUCCAGGAGAGGUGAGUGGAAUUCCGAGUGUAGAGGUGAAAUUCGUAGAUAUUCGGAAGAACACCAGUGGCGAAGGCGGCUCACUGGACUGGUAUUGACGCUGAGGUGCGAAAGCGUGGGGAGCAAACAGG